rnacentral:lncRNA from 1 species
AUGUCCCAAGGAUAGGUCAUGCGCGCAUCUUGUCGUGUGCAAGCAGGCCGUCCAUACGUCACCUUAUGUGCAGACAGACACCACACACUGUGUGCAUGCUGUCAAUGCAGUAGAUCUUCAUUGAUAGGCCCUGCGCGUCUGGGGCUUGCAUACAAUAGGCCUACGCGCGCAGCUUCUGACGCACAUAGGCCCUAUGCCCCCGACAUCCAAUGCACCUAAGCCCUGCAUGAGUGAUAAGAGGCCUAUGCACCUACAGGCUAGCCUGCAACAUGCCGGUCAGGGCACUGUAGCCUUAAGUAGUGCACUGUCGCCGCCUUGCGCGGUGUGCUAUCAUCGAUAGAGGAGGCCCUACUCCCUCAUUUUUCAUGUUGAGCAUCUUGUUCUCCUAUCUUCACCGGAUUUCACCACUUUGAAUGAAUUCGAUAAUUUAAAAAUUCUAUAAAUAAGCCUUCU